rnacentral:lncRNA from 1 species
UGUUCCUUCCCUAGAUUGGCAACUGACCUAGGUCGUGGGAGGGGACCGAGUCUUUCAGAAAUCCUUGGGUCAUUGAUUUUCGAGCAUAUGUAGAAGGGAUUCUCUCGACGUUGCUUUAGGAAGUCUCGGCAAUCACGAUAAACGGUUUUCGAUCAUUCCCAUCCUUCUGCAAUGAGGUGUCUUCCUCUACUUCUUCUGCUUCAGGUCAAAGCAUCUGGGUUGAGAGAAGUCUCAUGUUGAUCAAUGUUUUGAUGAUUAGCUCGCUCCUCAUCAGGGAUACCCAUGUCGAAAGGAGGUGACCCUCCGUGUUGGGGGUACCCAAAUGAUGGUUGAUGUCCACAGGGGCAACGAGCUCGGGUGUUUGAAUAUGCCUAGUUUCGUGGAGCGUCUCAAAGAGCUUCUCAUACUGCUCCUAGAGGACCUCAUUCUUCAUUGCUAUCUUGUUGUUCUGAGCUUCUAGCUCAUCGACUUUAGUUUGAAGAGCAACCAUUUUUCCUUCCUUCUUUCGUUGCUUCACACUAGGUGCAAGAAGGGUGUCAUUCUGUGUGUUGUGGCUUCAUUCACUCCCCAUGUUGGAGAGGGAUGCCUGGUCAAAAGAGAGUGUACGAAUGGUGGAAACCAGCUUGGCAAAGCUAAAGAGAGUG